UAGAGAGAAGAAAGGAAGGAAGAAAAAGGAAAUAAUGAAUUAAAAGAGAAAAAGGGGAAAAAAGGGGGGGGAAAGGAAGGAGAAAAUGAGAUCAGUGCAUGUUUAAAUCCCCACUGCCAAGCUCCAUUUAUCUACCAAAUCUAUUUUCAGAGGAAAUCGUGGGGGAGAAGUUGAGAGAAGAAGAUGAGGAAUUCUGAAAGAUUUAGGGCUGGAGAAGAUCAGAAAUUUCAAGGAAAAUUUUCAGCCAUGGCAGAUUUUCUGUUCAUCCAACAAGUCUUUGGUUUUUGUUGAUUUUGAGCUGCACAAAAGGAGUUAGAAGGUGAGAUUUAUUGGGUUAGAAAGCUAUUUCAAUUUUCAACAAAGUUCGAAGGAAUCUUAAGUAGAAUCUGAUGAGAAAGUGAUGAAAAUUAAAGGGGAAGAUAGACCACUGGUUUCACGCAUAAAUUUGGAGAAGUUUUGGUGUUUUAAGCGGUUUGAGCCAAAGAAGAGGAAUCCGAAGCUCUAAUUGGUCAGGUUAGAAAUCUUAUUCAAUUACCUACAAUUUCUAUGAAGAACGUUUUAGAUAAAAAGGAUUUCAAUUAGGUGAAUUUUCAAGUGGAAGCUGAAGGUUGUUUGAAAUAGCAAAUUGAGAGUCAUCUCUGGUUCGGGGGUGAUUCCGGUAAAAUCAAUUGAUUUCUAGGUCUUCAAGUCUUCAGAUAAGUUGUAGAAGACCUAGAGAUGAAGAGUGUGACAUGAGUUUCACUUAAUUUGGUUGAGUAAUGAAUGAGUUAUAGAUUUUUGAAGUUAGGGUAAAAUCUGGAAACACAGACGAUCAGUUCGUCUGUAACAGCAAGGUGUGUUGGUGAUAUCGAGCUAAAGAAAAGUUUAAAUAUGUAUUUUUGAGGAUUGGGGAUAAAACAGAGUAAGCAAAGUAGAAGUUGUUUGUACCAAGUCAAGGAGAACUAGAUCUCCAAAUCCAUAAACCAAGAAGAAGUAGAGCUAAAGAAUAGGCCAAGGAUUAAACUAUCACUGCCAGUGACAAAAUGAGUUUCAAGUUUGUUUUGAACAUGGACUUCUAGCUAAGUUGAUUUAAGCAUGUUCUGAGUUAUGUAAAUAUUUAUUACUGAUUUAGAAAGUUGAUUGGAAAAGCAUGAGUUGAUAGAGGAGAUCAAAUCAAGCAUUUUUCUAAGCUAUUUUUAAAUACGUUUCUUUAAGCAUAUUUUCAAGGAAGUAAACUUUAAAGUUUUACGCUAAGACUUCAAGUAAGUUUGAUUUCAAGACAAGAAAUGGUUAAGUUAAGCAAACUGAGAUUUCAAGUAAAAUUUGAAACUAAAUUACAAGGAAGCUUUAAGUUAAGAUUUCAAGUGAGUUAAGCUAGAUUUUAAGUAUGUCUUCAUGAAUCUAUGCCCUUAUGUUUUAUAUUACUCUCUAUGACCGGUCUGUUCCAUGUACCUCAAUGAAGGUAUAAAUUCUUGUGCCUAUGGGAGAAGGUUAAAGUGAAGAUUGUGCCUAUGAUGAGAGAAGAAUUUCGUGAUCAAAAUGUGGUGUACUAACAUCCACGUUUCAUGUACAGUUAGGUGAUCAAGUAAAGUCUAUGAAACACAUUUCUAAAUGUUUGCAUGUCAAGUACAAGUAAAGUUUUAUGAAAUCUAUUUCAAACGUCUGUAAAUUUCAAGCUACGUAUUUAUGAAAUGUUAUUUCAAAGGUUUGCAUGUCUUU